ACAAAUCGGGACUCAAGUCCUUGCUGCCGAACGGAGGGGCUCCUCCUACGCUGCUCCUCCUGCUGGCUCGCAUGCUCCCUAGGAGGUUAGGAGACCUCCGUCCGGGCAUCCCCUGGUGCUGUCCGGGCUACAGGUCUGCGCCAGCGCCUUGAGGUCCGCCUGCUGCAUUCUGGGCUGCAGCCUGUCACGGCGGAGACGCCCGCUCGUGGCUGGGCGGGGGCGGCUGCUCGUGGCAAGAGAUGGAGGAACCUCCUCGACGAUUCUUCAGCGACAUUUUUCCAGAGAAUCAUGCCGAUCUGUCAUGGGUUCCCGACGGGAGGUUGUCAGUGCAAGUGCGUGUUAUAAGAAAAGAUGAUGAGGAUCACAUACAUGAUAUUGGCUGGCUGGAGAACAUGCCUAGUGUUUUGCAGGGAAGCAUUGAUACCCCAGCCAACCAAACUAGUGCACAACCUUCACUUGAAACUGACUCAUCCCUUGUAGAGCCACAAAUUCAGCAAAUUAGUGAAGUGCCUUGGGUGGAGAAGGGGAAGGCAAAGAAGUUGAAGGCUGUCAGGUCUAAGAAAGACUAGAGAGUGCCAGAUCAGUAGCGUGUAUAGUUUUGGUAGCAUCAAGAUAGCUAAAUGUGGCUCAUAAUAUGUGAUUUUCUUUUGCCAAACCUGCUGAAUCAUUCCCUGUUGCUAAACCAUGUCAUUGGGGUCUAUAUUGUAGCCAAAUAUAGCUAAACGUGCUAUUUGUAUUUGAUUACUGCGUGCUAAAUGGUGAAGAAUAUGGUGAAGUACAUGCUGUUAUCAUGUCCUUUCGUCUAUCUAAUAUGUUCAUUUGAAGGGGUAGGGGUAUACUUGUCUUUUAUAAAUAUUUCCAUACCUCUUUGAUGAAGAUAUGUUAUAAUAUGUAUUAUAGUGUCCAGCACCCAAUUGCCAUGAAAGUUUAAUGUGUUUGGACAAAGACAUGUUAUUUUAGUGUGUUUGGGCAAAAGCCAUUUUUUUAGCGUCCCGGACCAAAUUUUUCCAAAGCACAAUCCUCUGUCGACUCUCGCGGGCGUCCGCCUUCUCGCAUGCGUCUGCCCGCCGCUCGCUCCAAAACGCGCCCCGCUUCGGCAGUUCCCCGCUGGAGGACGAAUCGGCGGUUCCAGCUCCCCGUCUCGCACGCCCAGCGCCGAUCCCGCUCGCGCCGCCCUCGCCUCCCCGUCUCGCUCGCCGACGCCGCCGGGCCGCUGUCUUGCUCGCGCCGCCCUCGCCCUCCCCGUCUCUCUCGCCGCCGCCGCCGCCGCCGCCGCCGCCGCCGCCUCUCUCGCGCCGCCCUCGGCCCUCGCGUCCGUCUCGGCCACCGACGCCGCCGCCACGCCCUCGCUGCCCUCGCCUCCUCGUCGCGCUGCCGGCCUCCUCCAGCUUGGCGCCGCCGACUCGCGCGCCUCCUCCGCGAGCUCCACGCCAGCGACCCGCGCGCCUCAUCCGCUAGCACGCUCCGUCCAGCCGGCUCGCCCCUACUCGGCCAGCCCCCCCUCCUCGGACAUCUCGGGCCGCCGACCCGCGCGCCUCCUCCGCCAGCUCAUCGCCGCGGCUGAACGAGACCGACGCCAUCACGCCGCUCCGCUCUGGCAUCACCGCACCCCACUGUGGCGUCCCCGUCGUUCCUCCUCGCCGACUUGGUGAGUUCCUCUUGCAAUUCUCCUUAAUCCUGCUCGCCGGUAUACUUCUGUUGGGUAGGUAGUAUUCAUCGUGCACAAAAUUCAUCAGCUCGGCUCCUCCCGAGUGCAAUUAGUUGGUUCAUUAGGAAGAAACUGGAGCGAUCUGGUGCGGUUGCCUGCUUAAGCUCUGCAAGCAAUUGCUUGAAUCCUGAUUAAGCUCUGCUAUGUAUAUACUAGAAACACAAAACUGGAAUACUGAUUGCGCUCCUUGCUAGGUUUUGAUUUGCGUCUCCAGAUCCCCUGCGACCCUCCCCCAUCUCUUCCGGCACAUCUCAUGCCCUUCCCCUUCUCCUCGUCUUCUUUUCCCUUCUUGCUAGGUUUUGAUUUGGGUAAAAUCAGUUGAACGCUGCCUAAGUUAGCCUGACUGAUUUACGAAUCAUUGUGAUAUUUGACACUGCAAGUUUCAGCUUAUCCUGCUGCGGUAGACAUUAGAGCAAUGUCCUGUAAGUUUAUUACUAGGCAUUGACUGAUCAUUGGUGAUCACAUUCUAGCUACCUACAGGUUUUAUGGAUGUCCAUAUAGAUUUUGUUGACUUGGUACUACCUAUCAAAGAUAUUGUGAAAGGGAAGGUGAAGCUAUAAUGCUAAUAUUAUGAUUAAAAGGAAAAAUAGAUAUAUAGCAGAUUAUUAUUUUCUCAUGUCUAAAAUCAUGCUAUUAUGUUGUCUAACAAUAUAACUUCCAGUUUAACCACCAAAGAGUCUUGAAUGGCUGGAUUUCAUUUAGUAUCAGAGUUGCUGUCAUUGUGCCUAAUAGGUAACAGCACACAAAUCUUCCCAAUACAUGACCAGGAAAUAAAUGGAUGUUGUAAAUGAUCUUGACCCUCUCCGUGAGUUAUGUUAUUCUGAACAUGCCAUAUUGCCAUGUCCACAUUGAGCUCACAGAUUAGAAGGAAGAGUCGUUGGAUCCAUUCUCUGUAAUUGUUCACCAUCUGGCAAUUCACAAAGCUGACUCAUGACAUCCCUCAGUGUCCUUGAUUUCAGAUAUAUGAUCACCGCGAGAGACCAUCUCCUCUUUAGAAAAGGUUGCAUUUACACUGAAUUUGUAGGCUGCACUAGGAUUUGGUUUGGCUUUUCAGUGGUUCUUAUGUUCCUUGUUAGAAUUGAAGUGGCUCAAUUGGACCUAUAUCAUGCUAACUCAACUCCUUCCAAAAUGGUUAUAUUUAACCCUCGAAGAUUGAUUUCUGCCCCAUUUUUGAUGUAUACAAGUAAUACCCUCCUUUCUGGAUAAGUUAGCCUGAGUUACCUCUGCUUGAUUGGCCACCCUAAAAAGAUCUGAUAUACAAAGGGAACCUUCAAUGUACCUCAUGGCCCUUAACUCGGUUAUUCUGUAGCCAUCCUCUGUUUUAGCCCUCCGAUGCCAUGAAUUAGAGCAAUUGUAUCUGCAUCUGCAUGCAAGUGUUGUAGGCUAAUUAAUGAAUUCAUGCUUCUUGGUAAUUAUGUGAAUCUACAGUGGUGCUGCGGUGUGUAACGCUGUUUGCUGAUUUGUUCUAUGGUGAUUGUACUCACUUGAAUUGGCUAUGCAUAUACAUACUUGUAUGCCUGUGUCUGAUGCUGAUUGCAGUUAGAUUCAGCUAGAACCAUUUUUCCUAUCUUGAGAAAUAUGACCGAAUGGCAGGAUGAGGAGGAAAACGACUGUCUUCUAUUUUAGUAAGUACCUAUCGUUGUCUCAUUUUAUGUCAUAUUCUGUGACUUAUUUAUUUUUGUAAGACUAAUACUUGAAAAAAAAACAAACAAUUUGAGAACAUUGUCUGAUACAAUUGGUCAAAAGUUUAAGAAACUAAAUUAUCAGGGGAAGCUUUGGUUUCUUUUUCCGCUUUCUGUUAUCCUCAAUUAGUUCUUGAAGUUAAUGCGUUGUGUGGUCUUAGAGUUUCAUGAUCAGAUUGUAUAUUGUUCCUAUCUUUCUGGGCAAGGCAACAAACAUCAGUUUUUAUUUACCAAAUAUCUCAAGGAAUGUGCUGUCUAAUUCAUCUAUCAAUAGUUCAAUGCAUUGUAGGCUAAUGUUGCCUCUCCAAGCUUCGCUGUGCCAGCUUGGGAGCUUAUGUCCUUCUGGUUCGACAGCCAACAGGGCAAGUCCAAACAGGCAUCGGGCAAAGCUCCAUUAGGCAGUUUGUUAGCAGCAUGAAGGGGAUUGGAGUGAAAUUUUAUUGUUCUGGUAGAAAAGGAAACAAAAAGAGCUCUGAAGUGCUAACAAUAAUGCUAACUGGGGGAUUUGUUUCGUCCAUAGCAAGGUAUGGGCACAAAACUACUUGAAUUCCUGUAUGUGCAUUGAUAUAGAUGAAUACCUGUACGUACUGCUGCCAUAGUGUUCUACUGAACUUUUGAAACAAUGGUUCUAUGGUGGUCAAUGUGCAAUGGCCCCUUCUUAUAUGAUGGACACCCUCACCGUCGAGGAAAACCAAAACCUGACACUCCUGUGGUGGUUUUCUGAAAAUACAGAUGGCAACUUGUCAUUCUGAAUUUCAUCAGAAAAUUCAGAUGAAGCAAAGGGCUGAAGGAUUCAAUCAAUUGGGUCCAGCCUCCAACUCCAGCGGUAUCAUUUAGCUUUUCUUCACAUGAUAGUAGUGCAGGAUCUUAGAUGCAUUUUAUGCUUUUUCGUGAGUAGAGUAAGACCAGGUUUUUAGCUUUUUCCUGAGUAGAGUUAGACCAGGUUUUUGUCUCGCACCAAUCUCGUUGAUAGUACCGGUAUUGAUCUAAUAGCUUGCUCUUUCAAUAUGUUCACUUUUGUAGUGUUCCAGCUAACAUGUAUCAGCAUAUUUCGCUGCAUAUAUGUUGCAGCGAUUGCAAUAGAGUUUAGGAGGGCCUGCAGAGAAUGAUGAUUCUCGUGCUGGGAGUGUGAGGGGAACUCAGCCUUCUUGAUCAUCUCAGGUAAUAAGUUGGAUUCUCGUUAAGGUCCAGUGGGAAGUUCGACCUUUUGUUUCUGGGUUACACAGCUACCUCUCAGCAACAAAUACCCUUUUGGUAAGCUGCAGUUUUGGCAAGGAAUCUGGGUCCGAACUGCAUUGCCAUGCUGCGUUGGUGCUAUAGGAGAUUCCCUUCCUUUAGUUUGAUCGUUUGUUUGGAGUGUGAGUAGAUCAUCAAGCCUAUUUAAGCACUUUCUUUGGAUCCUUCAGACUGAAAUCUGCUAUAUUAUUCCUUUGUGCCGUCCUUGUGCAACUCUAGAGAUUGCUAUGUUAGUCCUAUAUGAGGUUGUCCGAGCAAUUAUCCUUUGCACACCUAGAAAACAAAUGUCAAGUUGAUCAUGCUUUUCAGAUGGUGUUGUAAUUUUGUCAGUACACUUGAGUACUAGAUGUUGCUAAGAUUUUUUGAGUUUAUUAUUAUGCCAAGGACAUGCACUUCUUCCUUGGCUCAUACAUUCUUUGUAGCCAAUUAUUUUCAAGUUUUUUGUUGCAGUUUGGUAAUGGUUGUGUAAUUUUUUUUGUCAGGAAUAGUGAGCUGGAUGGGAGGCCUAUGAAUUUAUAACACAUAGUUUCCACAAUCUUUCAUUACACCACCUGCUAGGUUUGUGCCCUUUAACAUUCUUUCGCUCUUCUCAACAAAAUACUGCUGGCCUCUUCUGUUAAAAAGAGAAACUGCAACGUUUAUGUGAGAUAUCAUUUGUACAAUGUUGCUCAACGCAUAUAAUUUGUGAAUAUUUAUUUCCACUUUGUGUUUGUAUCUGGUUGGUGGUGGAUGAUUUUAAUCUAUAUAUCAUGAUUUAAAAGGACAUACAA